AUUGAUGUCAUUAAAACAAAAUUAUUUAUACUUGGAAAUUGAGGAUAUAUUAAUUAAAAUGAUUAUAUCAGUGGCUAGCAUAUAAAAACGACUAUAUCGGUAAAAUUAAUUUUAAGCCAUAUAAUUAUGAAAAUAUAAUUAUAAUU